UCCUCCGUGGCGCAAUUGGCUAGCGCGUCGUAAGUGUAAACCCGAUGUUUCGGUUCUAUCAAACCAAGCUAACCAUCUACAGUGACUGUUAAUCAGGAGGUUGAAAGUUCGAGCCUUUCCGGGGGAG